rnacentral:lncRNA from 1 species
UGGAAUUUCUUUAUAAUUAUAGUAUAUACAGCCCAUAGGGAUCUAGUUUGACUUGUUUGGAAAGACUCAUUUCCUGAACAUAGCUUUAGGCUAUGACUUGGGCUUGGGCAAAUAGCCAAAGUUUAUUGUCUUUUUGUAGGUACCGCAGACUGAACAGAGUGCAUUUUAAAUCUUUGAAAAGAAAUUUAAUUCCAUUUCUGUUUUAUUCAUCAGAAAUUUUUUGUCCAGAACCUUUAAAAAUAUGUAACUACUAAAAAUCUGCCUUCCAAUUUUCAUUUUCUGUACUUUUGAAUUUUCUCCCCACAUGAGCCUCAUAUCAAAAGGUAUUAGAUAUUUGAAGACAUUCAGCAUCUGUCUUCAAUCAUUUUUUCCUGGUUUCUACUUUGGGGCUUUUUUCCUCCUUUCUUCCUGGAAUCCCUUUACAGCAUCUUUACUGUUUGAAGAACUUCCUGGAAUUCUGAUAAUUUUCUUCAUGUGCACAAAUGGGUAUAUGUUUUAAACUAAUUUUUGAAACACUUUUUCUUUAUAUGUAAAGGGUAUUUUGUAUGGAAACUAAACCUAGGGCUCUC